AGAGUUUGAUCAUGGCUCAGGAUGAACGCUAGCGGCAGGCUUAAUACAUGCAAGUCGAGGGGUAACAGGUGUAGCAAUACAUGCUGACGACCGGCGCACGGGUGCGUAACACGUAUAUAAUCUACCUGAAACUGGAGGAUAGCCCGAAGAAAUUCGGAUUAAUACUCCAUAACAUUGCGAUAUGGCAUCAUAAUGCAAUUAAAGCUCCGGCGGUUUCGGAUGAGUAUGCGUUCGAUUAGCUAGUUGGUGAGGUAACGGCUCACCAAGGCGACGAUCGAUAGGGGUACUGAGAGGUUACACCCCCACACUGGUACUGAGACACGGACCAGACUCCUACGGGAGGCAGCAGUAAGGAAUAUUGGACAAUGGUCGCAAGACUGAUCCAGCCAUGCCGCGUGCAGGAUGACUGCCCUAUGGGUUGUAAACUGCUUUUGUAUGGGAAUAAACCCUUCUACGUGUAGAAGGCUGAAUGUACCAUAAGAAUAAGGAUCGGCUAACUUCGUGCCAGCCGCCGCGGUAAUAC
rnacentral:rRNA from 1 species